AGUGAACGCUGGCGGUAGGCCUAACACAUGCAAGUCGAACGGCAGCACAGUAAGAGCUUGCUCUUACGGGUGGCGAGUGGCGGACGGGUGAGGAAUACAUCGGAAUCUACUUUUUCGUGGGGGAUAACGUAGGGAAACUUACGCUAAUACCGCAUACGACCUACGGGUGAAAGCAGGGAUCUUCGGACCUUGCGCGAUUGAAUGAGCCGAUGUCGGAUUAGCUAGUUGGCGGGGUAAAGGCCCACCAAGGCGACGAUCCGUAGCUGGUCUGAGAGGAUGAUCAGCCACACUGGAACUGAGACACGGUCCAGACUCCUACGGGAGGCAGCAGUGGGGAAUAUUGGACAAUGGGCGCAAGCCUGAUCCAGCCAUACCGCGUGGGUGAAGAAGGCCUUCGGGUUGUAAAGCCCUUUUGUUGGGAAAGAAAAGCAGCAGGUUAAUACCCCGCUGUUCUGACGGUACCCAAAGAAUAAGCACCGGCUAACUUCGU
rnacentral:rRNA from 1 species